rnacentral:rRNA from 1 species
UGGGGAAUAUUGGACAAUGGGGGGAACCCUGAUCCAGCGACGCCGCGUGAGUGAAGAAGUAUUUCAGUAUGUAAAGCUCUAUCAGCAGGGAAGAAAGAAAUGACGGUACCUGACUAAGAAGCCCCGGCUAACUACGUGCC